AGGGGGGCUAAGGAGCUCCUUUCAGUCCAAUACAGGGGGCAGAGAUGUGGAUAGAGCUGCCAUCUCAUGCAUUGGGUUAUGCUUAGUGUUUUAUUGGAAAGAUUUGCCAAUAUUCAUCACCCAAAAAAGAGAGAGAAGAUUAUGAAUGUUGAGUUUAGCCCGAUGCAUGGUGUGGGAGCAACUCCUUCCACAUACUUUGCCCACCCAUUGGACUGAAGGGAGCUCCUGGUUUCAUCUCC
rnacentral:pre_miRNA from 2 species